rnacentral:rRNA from 1 species
CAUAUCAAUAAGCGGAGGAAAAGAAACCAACAGGGAUUGCCCUAGUAACGGCGAGUGAAGCGGCAACAGCUCAAAUUUGAAAGCUAGCCUUCGGGUUCGCAUUGUAAUUUGUAGAGGAUGAUUUGGGGAAGCCGCCUGUCUAAGUUCCUUGGAACAGGACGUCAUAGAGGGUGAGAAUCCCGUAUGUGACAGGAAAUGGCACCCUAUGUAAAUCUCCUUCGACGAGUCGAGUUGUUUGGGAAUGCAGCUCUAAAUGGGAGGUAAAUUUCUUCUAAAGCUAAAUAUUGGCGAGAGACCGAUAGCGCACAAGUAGAGUGAUCGAAAGAUGAAAAGCACUUUGGAAAGAGAGUUAAAAAGCACGUGAAAUUGUUGAAAGGGAAGCGCUUGCAAUCAGACUUGUUUAAACUGUUCGGCCGGUCUUCUGACCGGUUUACUCAGUUUGGACAGGCCAGCAUCAGUUUCGGCGGCCGGAUAAAGGCUCUGGGAAUGUGGCCUCCACUUCGGUGGAGGUGUUAUAGCCCAGGGUGUAAUACGGCCAGCCGGGACUGAGGUCCGCGCUUCGGCUAGGAUGCUGGCGUAAUGGUUGUAAGCGACCCGUCUUGAAACACGGACCAAGGAGUCUAACAUCUAUGCGAGUGUUCGGGUGUCAAACCCCUGCGCGUAAUGAAAGUGAACGGAGGUGGGAACCCGCAAGGGUGCACCAUCGACCGAUCCUGAUGUCUUCGGAUGGAUUUGAGUAAGAGCAUAGCUGUUGGGACCCGAAAGAUGGUGAACUAUGCCUGAAUAGGGUGAAGCCAGAGGAAACUCUGGUGGAGGCUCGCAGCGGUUCUGACGUGCAAAUCGAUCGUCAAAUUUGGGUAUAGGGGCGAAAGACUAAUCGAACCAUCUAGUAACUGGUUCCUGC